rnacentral:rRNA from 1 species
GACGAACGCUGGCGGCGUGCUUAACACAUGCAAGUCGAACGGAAAGGCCCUGCUUUUGUGGGGUGCUCGAGUGGCGAACGGGUGAGUAACACGUGAGUAACCUGCCCUUGACUUUGGGAUAACUUCAGGAAACUGGGGCUAAUACCGGAUAGGAUCUCCUGCUGCAUGGUGGGGGUUGGAAAGUUUCGGCUGUUGGGGAUUGACUCGCGGCUUAUCAGCUUGUUGGUGGGGUAGUGGCUUACCAAGGCUUUGACGGGUAGCCGACCUGAGUGGGUGGUCGGCCACCCGGGAACUGAGACACGGUCCAGGCGCCUGCGGGAGGCAGCAGUAGGGAAUCGUCCGCAGUAGGCGAAAGCCUUACGGAGCAGCGCCGCGUGAGUGAUGAAGAUCUUCGGUUCGUAAAACUCGGUUAUGAGGGAAGAACAAAUGUGUAAGUAGCUAUACACGGCUUGACGGUACCUAAUCAGAAAGCAACGGCUAACUACGUG